GCCGAAAAUAUAAUUCAUUAAUUAUUGGAUAACAUUAAAGCGUGACUCUUGAACGAUAACGUGCAGACAAAUCCAUAAAACAAAAAUAUCUUAAAACAUGUAAUCUUCUGAAGUUAAAUCGUUGACAUGGUUAUGCUUUUGUUUUGUGUCUCUUCUGAUUCGGAGUCUUUCUCCUGGCUUAACAGGUUCGCUUGCCUGUAGUCACUGAAGACAUAGCAACUGAAGUUCAACUAGGUUUUCUUUUAAUGGAAGACAUUGAGCCAAAUCUUGCAAUUAAGAAGGAUUUUACUGAAUUAAUUGGGGCAACCCCAAUGGUGUACCUGAACCACAUUGUGGACGGUUGCACAGCUCGAAUUGCUGCUAAGCUAGAGUCAAUGCAACCCUGUUCUAGUGUCAAAGAUAGGAUAGCGUUGAGCAUGAUUGAAGAUGCUGAGGCAAAAGGCCUAAUUACACCCGGAAAAACCGUUCUUGUGGAGGCGACUAGUGGCAAUACCGGUAUAGGACUCGCGUCGAUAGCAGCAUUGAAGGGUUACAAGCUUCAAGUGACUAUGCCAUCUUAUGUGAGUCUUGAGAGAAAAAUUGUAUUGUUAGCCUUUGGAGCUGAGGUGUAUCUGACAGAUCCUGCUAAAGGAGUCGCUGGGGUUUUCCAGAAGGCAGAAGAGCUAGUAGCGAAGAAUCCUAAUAGCCAUAUGCUCCAUCAAUUUGAGAAUCCUGCAAAUCCAAAGAUUCAUUAUGACACCACUGGCCCAGAGAUUUGGCGAGACUCGGGAGGCAAAGUUGAUGCUUUGGUUGCAGGGAUCGGAACUGGGGGUACAAUUCAAGGCGCUGGAAAAUUCCUCAAGGAGAAAAACCCAGAUAUCAAGGUGUAUGGUGUUGAACCAGCUGAAAGUGCAGUUCUAAAUGGAGGAACCCCAGGAUUUAGAAGUCAAGGAAUACAAUACUUUACUUUCAUCAAUGUAUCAAUUACUAUAUAUCAAAGUACAUUUGUUUAUCUACCGAAGAAGAGAAUCGGAGCAAUAGAAGAUAAUGAAGCCCUGCUGCAGGAACAGGAAGACUGUCAACAAAUCAGAUAUCUGGUCUAACUGAUUCAGAUUAAUUGAUGCAGGUAAGCAUCUUAUCCAAGGGAUUGGUGCUGGUAUCAUUCCCCAUGUGCUUGAUGUUAAUCUCCUAGAUGAAGUUAUUCAGGUUACAAGUCAAGAAGCUAUUGAAACAGCUAAGUUGCUCGCCUUGAAAGAAGGUUUGCUGAUGGGAAUUUCAUCAGGAGCCGCAGCAGCAGCUGCAAUAAAAUUGGCGAAGAAACCAGAGAAUGCCGGAAAGCUCAUUGUUGUGAUAUUCCCCAGUUUUGGAGAGCGUUAUUUGUCUUCACCAUUGUUUGAAUCCAUCAGGCACGAAGCUGAACAAUUGACAUUUGACUAAGGUCCCAAUUCGAUAAUAGUUUGCAUAAAUUUCUUAGCUCCAUUGUUAUAAUCCAUAGUGCAAUCUAUAUACUAUAUAGUAAGUUAGAUGAUGUGCAGACCGAUGAUACUUCGGGAGCUGUCUACGAAAUAAUGGGAAUUUUUAUUAAAUUAAAUAAAAUAAAAUUCUUACAAA